rnacentral:rRNA from 1 species
CCGAGUUUACAACUCCCAAACCCAAUGUGAACCAUACCAAACUGUUGCCUCGGCGGGGUCACGCCCCGGGUGCGUCGCAGCCCCGGAACCAGGCGCCCGCCGGAGGGACCAACCAAACUCUUUUCUGUAGUCCCCUCGCGGACGUUAUUUCUUACAGCUCUGAGCAAAAAUUCAAAAUGAAUCAAAACUUUCAACAACGGAUCUCUUGGUUCUGGCAUCGAUGAAGAACGCAGCGAAAUGCGAUAAGUAAUGUGAAUUGCAGAAUUCAGUGAAUCAUCGAAUCUUUGAACGCACAUUGCGCCCGCCAGUAUUCUGGCGGGCAUGCCUGUCCGAGCGUCAUUUCAACCCUCGAACCCCUCCGGGGGGUCGGCGUUGGGGACCUCGGGAGCCCCUAAGACGGGAUCCCGGCCCCGAAAUACAGUGGCGGUCUCGCCGCAGCCUCUCCUGCGCAGUAGUUUGCACAACUCGCACCGGGAGCGCGGCGCGUCCACGUCCGUAAAACACCCAACUUCUGAAAUGUUGACCUCGGAUCAGGUAGGAAUACCCGCUGAACUUAAGCAUAUCAU